UCUGCACCUGUUCCCUCAUAUCCAAAUUCUAAGUCAUGGCAACAUGAUGUGCACAUUGUACAUCAAUCAGUCUCAGUUCUUUCUGAACCUCAACAGUUGUAUCCAACUGUUUCUCCUGUGGUAACUACAAAUGCUCAUUGCCCCCAAAGGGCCAAGGCACGCAUGCGAUGGACUAUGGAAAUGCAUGAUCGCUUCGUAGAUGCUGUCAAUCUGCUUGGUGGCAGUGAAAGUGCUAAACCUAAAGCAAUUCUUGAUAUCAUGGAUGUUGAAGGUCUGACUCGUGAUCAGGUGAAAAGCCACUUGCAGAAGUACAAAAUGGCUCAAGUUAAGCAUCACCCAUCUGAAG